GAAACAGGUUCCUGAAUUCCAUAAACACGUUGAAAUGGCCAUUUCCUAUGAUAUUUGAUAGGUUGAAGACCAAGUUUCUGCCUUUCUUCCUCUCUGGCAAUCAUACAGUGGUAUCGACAAUCACUAAGGCAGUCCCAUUGUUUCCAUCUUUGAUAAAGUGGCUCCUGCAGGUACCAUGGACCAUCAAUUGGAUUUUCCCCAGAAGAAAAAUUACAAUGUUGAAAGCAUUUUCCCCCCACACAUCCAGUCUCCUUGCAGUGACCAACACAUGCUUGAUAAAUGGGAUCAUCUUCGCAUAGGGGAUUUGCUCUUUAUCUCUGUGAAUUUUCAGAUACUCUUCAGAAACUCCAUUUUUUUUUCUUCUUCUUCUUUAGUGUGUAUUGUAUGGCCGCCAAUUUGCAGAGCCGUGGACUCGUGAGCUUGGGAAAGCGAGUUGUUAACCAGAUCAGCUGCGCAAGUGCUCGAACUACUGCUAAUUCACCUUCCCUCUCUGGAAGGAGGGGUGUGCAGACGUCAGUGUACGACAAGAACCCGGAGGAUCAUGUGCGUGAUUCGGUUGUGCCUGAUGAAGUGAUAGAGGCACAAUCAGACAAAUACUGGGCUCCUCACCCACAAACUGGGGUGUUUGGGCCAGCAGAUACUGCUGGCGCGGAACGUGGCUUUCACUCUUCACAAGCCACUGCUGCUACUGCUGAAUCCAUUUUGGAGCAGAAGGCGUUCUUCCGCCCUCUUGAGGACUUGGAGAAGCCCAUGCUUAAUUAAUUUCACGUACUCGAGUAAAAUUGCUUUAUGAACUAUAUAUAUAUAUAUUGAGUACUAGUAAAGCUGUUUGCUUGUGUUUGUGUUUAUGCGAGUCAAUAGUGUAGAUUUAAGGUGCAGUAUAGACUAAUAAGGUAUUAAAGCUGCACUGCUUUUGAAGGUUCGUUCAUAUGGUAAUGUAAUAUGGGUGUCUUUUACCUGAGGAUGAACUUUUUGCUUUCAGAAUAUUACGUUACUUUCAAAGUCUUUAUCAUUUGGAAUUGGGAAAGUGAUUAGUUACGUAUAUAGCUGUGCCA
rnacentral:misc_RNA from 1 species